rnacentral:lncRNA from 1 species
AACAUCCCUAACCCUCGGAGAGAAAAUGAAAAUGACGCACUCCCCCUUCUUCUUCUCCAUUCCCCAUUCUUCCCCAUUCACUCUCCUACCCGCACCUAUCAUACACACACUUAAUCACACAUGCCUAAGCCUCUGGAAACAACCAAAAAUUACAGAGUUUACUUCUGAAAUUCAAGGUUAAAGAGCUGGGUGCAAUCAUUUUAUUUUUUUACAUUUUGGGGAACUCGGAUUGUUUGGUCGCUACGUUGUCGCUAUUUAUGCUACUGAAUCUGUGAGCUAUUUAGCUGAGCUCCAACUGGUUUUUCGGAUAACGAUAGUACAAGGUUGUCCGCGAUAACGAUAGUACAAGGUUGGUGUUCUCAGCUUUUCUUGUUUUUUGGCUGAAAGGAUAUCUACAUCCAAACUUACGUCCCUCUGUACUAUUAAGCUCUUUAAGUAUGGUUUAUUUUAUAUGAAAGAAGGCAUCUGCUUCAGCAAAUUUCAUGGCUCUUGAUAAGAUAUUUUAGUUGGCUUACAAAGUUAUGUGUCGUGAUUGUAGCUAUGUGCUAGUUCUGCUUUCAGAAGUUUACCUUUGUGUUUACCCUUAAUGUUUGUUCUAUCAUACUUGUGUCGUCUUGGUUAGUUUUCAAGAAAAGUUGUUUCUCAAACAUUUAAAUAGCUAGUCUUUCUGUUAGGUGACAAGUUAUGAAGAGACUUGAUAUGUAAAAUCUUGAGAUCACCUUUAUCUGACCUGGG